GCGAUCUGUUUAGUCUGUGUGAGAUGAAAGCUGGGGAUGCCUAUUGGCCCAUUAUGGAAAGGAGUUUUAAUGACGCUCUCCUCACUACUGAUAUGGAUUUUCAGUCGGGUAUCACAUUCUGUGAACAGCUUCGGGCCUGGGCCCAGGAUAAACUAGCAGACCAAGCCACUUGUAUAAAUGAUAUUAUACAAGAUAAACUUGAGUAUGUGGAGAAGUACCAUUCC